rnacentral:rRNA from 1 species
ACGAAGGGGACUAGCGUUGUUCGGAAUCACUGGGCGUAAAGCGCACGUAGGCGGAUUGUUAAGUCAGGGGUGAAAUCCCGGGGCUCAACCUCGGAACUGCCUUUGAUACUGGCGAUCUCGAGUCCGGAAGAGGUGGGUGGAAUUCCUAGUGUAGAGGUGAAAUUCGUAGAUAUUAGGAAGAACACCAGUGGCGAAGGCGGCCCACUGGUCCGGUACUGACGCUGAGGUGCGAAAGCGUGGGGAGCAAACAGGA